GAUGAACGCUAGCGGCAGGCUUAACACAUGCAAGUCGAGGGGUAUAGUUCUUCGGAGCUAGAGACCGGCGCACGGGUGCGUAACGCGUAUGCAAUCUACCUUUGCAGAGGGAUAGCCCAGAGAAAUUUGGAUUAAUACCUCAUAGUAUGUGAGAAUGGCAUCAUUUUCACAUUAAAGUCACAACGGCAAAAGAUGAGCAUGCGUCCCACUAGCUUGUUGGUAAGGUAACGGCUUACCAAGGCAACGAUGGGUAGGGGUCCUGAGAGGGAGAUCCCCCACACUGGUACUGAGACACGGACCAGACUCCUACGGGAGGCAGCAGUGAGGAAUAUUGGACAAUGGGCGCAAGCCUGAUCCAGCCAUGCCGCGUGCAGGAUGACGGUCCUAUGGAUUGUAAACUGCUUUUGUACAGGAAGAAACACUGGUUCGUGAACCAGCUUGACGGUACUGUAAGAAUAAGGAUCGGCUAACUCCGUGCCAGCCGCCGCCGUAAUAC
rnacentral:rRNA from 1 species